AUUGAACGCUGGCGGCAUGCCUUACACAUGCAAGUCGAACGGCAGCACGGGAGCAAUCCUGGUGGCGAGUGGCGAACGGGUGAGUAAUAUAUCGGAACGUGCCCAGUCGUGGGGGAUAACGUAGCGAAAGCUACGCUAAUACCGCAUACGAUCUAUGGAUGAAAGCGGGGGAUCGCAAGACCUCGCGCGAUUGGAGCGGCCGAUAUCAGAUUAGGUAGUUGGUGAGGUAAAGGCUCACCAAGCCGACGAUCUGUAGCUGGUCUGAGAGGACGACCAGCCACACUGGACUGAGACACGGCCCAGACUCCUACGGGAGGCAGCAGUGGGGAAUUUUGGACAAUGGGCGCAAGCCUGAUCCAGCAAUGCCGCGUGCAGGAU
rnacentral:rRNA from 1 species